AUGGAAGCAGCAGCAGCACGAGCGCGAGCACCAAUGGCGUCGAUCUCGAGCUUGGAUUUGGGAAAGAUCGUGCCCGGCGCCGGCUUCCUCCUCCACCGCCACGCCGCCGUUCCCAGCGCCCCUGUUCUCCGGGGGAGGAGCGCGAGCGGGCGGUGCGGCCUCGCUGUCUCGGUCUCGUUCUCCAAUGGUUCAGCUGGGCUCUCCCCACUGAGUGACUCGGAGAAGAAAUGCCCUGUGGUGAUGGAGAUCCCGCUGGAAGAUAUCCGGAGGCCGCUAUUUCAAACGCGUGCUAAUGAUCCCGAUAAGGUGCAGGAGCUCAUCGACAGCAUCCGUGUCAUCGGCCUCCAAGUACCUGUGGGCAUCUUUUCCUUUAACAUUAAUUUUACCAAAAUUAUUUUCUUUUAG
rnacentral:rRNA from 1 species